GUUCCCUUCCCCCCCACCCUCUCUCUCUCUCUCUCUCCCCCGCAUUUCAUCUGGCUUCUUGAGCCAUGUAUGGGGAUGCCCUGUUAAGAAGAAAUCAACGGAGAAGAGGUUGAGAGAAUGUGGAAAUGGGAGUUUCCUAAUUCAUUUAUUGUGACAUUGUAGGAGGGAAUUGUGAGUUUUCUGAUUCGUUUCUUGUAACAUUGUAGAAGGAAAAUGGAAGAAGGCUUCGAUUGAUCACAAUCAUCCCAGAAUAUUUGGAAAGCCCUCUAAGCAGUUGUUCAGACCCCAAGGUUCAAUUUACUUGGAGACAGCGGAUGGAAACUGGGUUCACUCCAGAGAGCAUUUCUCUUGCAAAUUCUUCAUCUGUCCUCCAGGCUGACUUGUCAUCUGAAGUAAUACCAUGGAGACAUUAUUAGAGAUCAGUUGCCUCCCAUGCAUUCAUUACACCAUUCAAGAAGAAAUGCUUUGUAUCAACAUCUGUGUUCGAAAGAAUGAAAAUUUCAAUAGUAAACACAUACUUUUGAUCACUUGAGGCAUAGGGAAUUUGAGGAGCUGCUCUCCAUCUGAACAAAAAAGUUCUUUUAGCA